AUGGCCAGGGUGUGGUUUCCCAAGAUUGCGGCUCCACACCCUGGGCGUCCGCAGCAGCUCCGCCCAUGCCGGUGGAAGGACGGUGCCCCGCCUCGCGCUCGGAAGGACCCCACGUCUGGAAAAAAUCGGACUGUGCAGUUCGCCCCUGAGAGCGGCGAGGUGGGACAUCAUCCACGGUGCCCCCGAGUGGCUGCCACCAAGAUCAACCAUCGAGGUGGCUGCCCCACAUACUCGACGCUCCAACACCUCAAGCAGGAGCUAGGCGAGCCGCUUCGGGACUAUGUCCGGCGUUUUCGGCGAGUGGAGGACAAGAUUGAAGGGCUCCCUGCUUCCAUCAUCACGGUUUUCUACCUCAGUGCUCGCAAUCCUCGGGUCUGCGAGGCGAUGGUGGCUUGUUGGGUGCAUACUGUGGUAGAGCUAUAUGCUCUUGCUCACAAAUGA
rnacentral:rRNA from 1 species